AUGCCAUUUCUUCUGGCAACGAACUUAAAGCCUGGUACCCUGAUCACAAUGCUACUUUGUGGCCAAAACUUAAGACCCCUAAGGGUCUCAUCUCUUUGCUCACCACCAUUAUCUGGAUUGUAUCAGCAUGCAGUUUUGAAGUCUUCUUGGUUGGGAGAACUUGAGAUCAUUGAUGCAUUCAAUCCAUUUUCAAUGGAUAUGAAAAAUAUUGAGAAGGACAUUAACAAAAGAAAUGCAGAUCCAAAACUUAGUAACAGAUGCAGCCAUUGA